AUUGAACGCUGGCGGCAGGCCUAACACAUGCAAGUCGAGCGAGCGGCGGACGGGUGAGUAAUGUAUGGGGACUGCCCGAUAGAGGGGGAUAACUACUGGAAACGGUAGCUAAUACCGCAUACUAUCGGAUGACCCAUAUGGGAUUAGCUAGUAGGUGGGGUAAAGGCUCACCUAGGCGACGAUCUCUAGCUGGUCUGAGAGGAUGAACAGCAACACGGGGACUGAGACACGGCCCAGACGCGUAAGGGGGCGGCAGUGGGGAAUAUUGCACAAUGGGUGCAAGCCUGAUGCAGCGUGGCCGCGGGGGGGAUGAAGGUUUUCGGGUUGUAAACCUCUUGCGCUAUCGAACCGGUAGGUGGAGAAGAAGCGCCGGCUAACUACGUGCCAGCAGCCGCGGUAAUAC
rnacentral:rRNA from 1 species